UGGGGAAUAUUGCACAAUGGGGGAAACCCUGAUGCAGCGACGCCGCGUGAAGGAAGAAGUAUUUCGGUAUGUAAACUUCUAUCAGCAGGGAAGAAAUUGACGGUACCUGACUAAGAAGCCCCGGCUAACUACGUGCCAGCAGCCGCGGUAAUACGUAGGGGGCAAGCGUUAUCCGGAUUUACUGGGUGUAAAGGGAGCGUAGGCGGCAUGGCAAGUCAGAUGUGAAAGGCAUGGGCUCAACCCGUGGACUGCAUUUGAAACUGUCAGGCUUGAGUGCAGGAGAGGCAAGUGGAAUUCCUAGUGUAGCGGUGAAAUGCGUAGAUAUUAGGAGGAACACCAGUGGCGAAGGCGACUUGCUGGACUGUAACUGACGCUGAGGCUCGAAAGCGUGGGGAGCGAACAGG
rnacentral:rRNA from 1 species